rnacentral:lncRNA from 1 species
GAUCGAGGACAUUGGACUGCCUGCUCCUUCGUCGACCGAGAAACACAACAUUGCUCCUUUGUCGACUGAGAAACACAACUUCUCAGUCGACUGAGCCGUAGCCAUUCCCAAAGAUUUUUUUUUUUGUCUUGGAGACAUCUGCCAGAGAUGAACGCACUUUGACGCUGACGAAUCAGCGACGGUAAAGUAGGCGCAAUUCUGAAAGCGAGCAUCUUGGCGAAACAGUGAAUCAUGCUAAUGGGUUGAUAGUCCUUGAUAUCAGAUAGUUAGUGUUGAUGUACUCUCGUGCCGUACUACUGUCGUCUAUCUUCACUGUACGUGUCUCCAUAAGACCAUAACUAUUAGGAGCUUUUCAUAUCUUGUUAAAAUGUAGUACCCCGCCAGCAGCUCUCUCACUGUAUAUCUAUCGGUUCUUAAUUUGGGAGUUGAACUGAGACUAUAAGGGCAACCGAUUGGUGUGCUUCUGCCUACUUGUCCAU